GUGAAUCAUCAAAUCUUUGAACGCAAGUUGCGCUUCCUAGCAUCCCGGGAAGUAUGCCUGUUUGAGGGUCAGCAUUAACAAAAAAAUCGGUUUGGUUGCAAAUUGUGACGUUUCCGGAGUUUGGGCUAUCUUAACUUUUUUGGUUAAGGGGCUUAACAUUGACCUUUUUUGCGCAUUUUUCGACGUACAUAAAUUUUUUUUUAUUCGUCUAUUCUUAGUGCCAAAAUCUUAUUAGAUGCGAUCACAUCGUGUGGUUUCUUGUCCAUAAAAUUUUCAUGAUUUUACCUCAAUUUAGUUAGGG
rnacentral:misc_RNA from 1 species